GUGGGGAAUUUUGGACAAUGGGCGCAAGCCUGAUCCAGCAAUGCCGCGUGUAGGAAGAAGGCCUUCGGGUUGUAAACUGCUUUUGUACGGAACGAAACGGUCCUGGCUAAUAUCCGGGGCUAAUGACGGUACCGUAAGAAUAAGCACCGGCUAACUACGUGCCAGCAGCCGCGGUAAUACGUAGGGUGCAAGCGUUAAUCGGAAUUACUGGGCGUAAAGCGUGCGCAGGCGGUUUUGUAAGACAGGCGUGAAAUCCCCGGGCUCAACCUGGGAAUUGCGCUUGUGACUGCAAGGCUGGAGUGCGGCAGAGGGGGAUGGAAUUCCGCGUGUAGCAGUGAAAUGCGUAGAUAUGCGGAGGAACACCGAUGGCGAAGGCAAUCCCCUGGGCCUGCACUGACGCUCAUGCACGAAAGCGUGGGGAGCAAACAGGAUUAGAUACCCGAGUAGUCC
rnacentral:rRNA from 1 species